CGUGGCGGCAGCAGGGGGACGUGAGGCCCGUGAGGUCCGUGCGGCGGCGGCUGCCGCCGCCGUUGGGCGGGGGGUGCGAGGCGUGAGGUUGAUUCCAGCGGUGCGGCGUCUCACGGACGCUGCAAGGGGCUUACAGUAACAGCGAGCUCUGUGCUCUUCUGGAUGUUCUGAUCUGUGCAGUGCAGAUCUGAAUUUACAGAGUAAGCCAGAGCAGUCCUGUGAAAAACCAAGUUCCCAGAUUUUGGGGACUCUUGAUUGUCUUCAAGAACAAGAAGUGUACAUGAUUAAGAAAUUGGCCACAACACAUCUUUGGUACUACAGCUGUUAUUUGUUUCUCACAUGUUGUUCAGUAGUGUUAUUCAGUCACAUUUCAACAUACUUGCUGCCUUAUCCAGAAACGUGAGCGUUUCUGGCAAGAAUUUUACACCUGUGAGGAUCAUGUAAAUCAAUCUUUUAUUAGAUUAUAAUAAAAGUGUGAUAAAUUUGAUCAUAGUAAUAUA